UCCACCCGACAUAUGGGCUGGAUUUGGAAUGUGCUAGACAACUUUUUGGGUAAAUAACUCUGUACUAGAGUGAGAAUAUGAUUGGAUGGUCAAUUUUUAGUCGGAUGAUGAUCGAGCGGUUUGGAUGUUUAGGGAUGGUUAGAGGGGUCUCGUUGAGUCUCCAAGAGCGUAGUGAACGGACUUGUCCGUGCUGCGCACACUAGCCCUGAACGGACUCCAGUUUUUUCUUACCCCAAAUUCUGCUCCGGUGAGUGCCGUGGCGACCCUUCUCUGAAAUCCUCAAUCCCCAAACCAGAUCCAGAGCGGAGAUGGAAGCGAAGAGAGCGCCGGCGGCCGCCGCAGCCGUCAUCUCGGCCGUGCUCGACGACGACGACCUCCUCGGUAACUGAAAUCAAUGGUAUCAAACACCAUAACCAGUGGAGGGUUGGAGGCAGCAGAUAAUGCAGACGUGGGUCUGUCAUAGUACCAGCAGAUCCACAGCGUCCCAUACUACCAGUUUUGCACAUUGUUGUAAGGUGCUACCAACUUACCAUGUUGACUUAUGCAGCUGUUAGACAUUACAUGCCUGAUUUUGUAUGUACUGCUGAUGCUUCUGCUAGACCAGUACAACUCUUGUAUAUGUAUGCCACUUUCUGCUGUGUACUAGAUGUGGGUAUGUGAAUGUUUUGGGUACCGGGCGGUAAAUUCGGUAACCGCUUUUCCCGUUACCCCACGAUAA